CUGCAUCUCCUCAUCUUCUUCCUCACAUUUCAUUUGUCCCAAAAAACAUUUCUAUUCCUGUUUUAUACAAACAAAAAACAAUGGCUACACUGUUGCUUCAUCUUCUUCCUUUACCAUGCUUCAUUUAGCUUCAUUGUUCUCCAUUUUCGUAUUAGUUAACGCAAGAAUCCCUGGUGUUUGCACUGGUGGAUCCUGGGAAACUGCUUAUGUCACUUUCUAUGGUGGCAUGUUCACAUCUAGGGAAAAUCAAAACCAAAGAACCCAAAACCAGGAAACCAAGGAAAUGAUGAGAAAAAGAGCAAAAAGGGAUUGGAAAUUGAAGGGUACCGAGUCGAAGGGUUGUCAAUAGGAGGGCAUGAAACUUGCAUUAUUUUUCCCACUCGUAACCUAACAUUUGAUAUCGGUCGAUGCCCAUAACGUGCCCUUUCUCAAGAUUUCCUUUUUAUUUCUCAUGGCCAUAUGGAUCAUAUUGGUGGCCUGCCAAUGUAUGUCGCAACACUGGGUUUAUAUGGCAUGAAGCCCCCAACAAUUGCUGUACCUACUUGUAUAAAAGAAGAUGUAGAGAAACUCUUUGAGUUGCAUAGAAAGAUGGAUCAAUCAAAGCUUAAGCAUAAUUUAAUCGGCUUGGAUGUGGGGGCUUUGGGAUGUAGAAAGCGACAAUGAUGGCCAACAAGAAGGCUGCGUUUUACGGGUUUAUGUUAAUGUGGCUUUUAGCAAGAAAACUAUUUGGAAAGGUUUGCCUCUGCUGAAUGAUGAUGAAUCUCUUGUUUAUAUAGUGUGCUCUUUUAUCAUUUAUGUAUUUCUUGUGUCGCAUCUUUGUAUUUUGAUUUGCUGAGUUUCUAUUGUUAUUGACUCCUGUUACAAAGACUUUACAUUUACGUGUCUCAUAUUAUAAUUGCUUCUAAACUAUUAUAGCCGAAGUGCCAAAAAGAUUUCUCCUUUAAGAAUGAAAAUGAUUACUUAUUGUUUGUGGAAGAAGGAAUUAUUUGGCAAGAAAUAAAGAAAUAGGACUUUCGAGAGUGCAAAAUAUCUAUGUAUAUAUAAUUGGAUGUUAUUCAUGUUUAAAUCCAAUAAUUUCUUCAGAGAAAAGACAACAACAUUAGUCAACUUUGUUUACCUAAUGUCUUAAUGAUCUACAGAUGAUUUCACAUAUGACUCUGAUCAUUGUUUGAAAAUGUUUAUGUCAUGUUUUAUAUGUAC